UACCAAGCAACUAUGUCGCUUCAGAGUUUUAUUGUCCUUUCAUCCACUGGGCGACUGCAUGGGUCACAGCUGCUGCUCUUAGGAAGGAGGAAAAGGGGAGCUUUAGGGAAGAAAGCCACACAUAUGAACAGCUCCAGAAGGACGGCAACGUGAUUGUAAAAUGUGUUAAUUCAAUGCAGGAAUUUUUCCUCUUGGACCCUGUCCUUUCUCUUGGGACGUCAGACUUGGCUGCUUGGAUUGACCCUGAGCUGUGUUUCCUGACCUUUGGACUUUGGAUCUGAACCUUGCUUGUGUGGCUUAACCCCUGGACUUUGAGCAUGACAUACUGACUUGCUGCCAGGAAAUUUCACAUGGAACGUCUUGGCCUACCUCUGAAAAUAUCUUAGGAUAAUUACUCAAGGGGCCUUUGAAAAGUUGUAGUGCUACAUGUGUUUACAUGGGAACUCGACAUCAGAAAGCUUGGCAAAGCAAAGCAGAAGAGGAAUAUGAUGAGGAACCGGAGAUUAACCAACCAUUUGUGUUAUUUGGCAUCAAAGAGAAGACACCACUGAGCAUGAGCACCGCAAUCAUCAAACAGUAGCAAGAAACAUCAGUAUGUGCAAGUGAA